UACGUAGGUGGCAAGCGUUGUCCGGAAUUAUUGGGCGUAAAGCGCGCGCAGGCGGCCUUUUAAGUCUGAUGUGAAAGCCCCCGGCUCAACCGGGGAAGGUCAUUGGAAGCUGAGAGGCUUGAGUACAGAAGAGGAAAGCGGAAUUCCACGUGUAGCGGUGAAAUGCGUAGAGAUGUGGAGGAACACCAGUGGCGAAGGCGGCUUUCUGGUCUGUAACUGACGCUGAGGCGCGAAAGCGUGGGGAGCAAACAGG
rnacentral:rRNA from 1 species